rnacentral:lncRNA from 1 species
GGAUCGAGAAUUUAAAAAAUUAUAGCUGGUGGAUUGCGUGCUAGAAAGUUGUUCGAUAAGAGUGCUUUGUUAGAGCCCAGAACGAGGAGGAUUGGUCAUUAAGUUCCCAAAAGAUAAUCCGCUUUGGAAUAAUACUUUGGGCAAUAGCCUGCCACCUUCUUAUGCUACAAGUGGGCCCGGAUUGGUUCAGUGGACUUCAAACCUUAGCUUGAUCUGGUUGACGCUACAGUCUCCACCUAUUAGAAAAAGCAUGGGAUUGGGUUGGGUUAUCGGGAAAGCUAAGGCCCCAUCCC